rnacentral:tRNA from 3 species
AGCCCUGUAACUCAGUGGGGAGAGUGCCUCUCUUACAAAGAGGAAGUCGCUCUUUCAAUUCCUGUCAGGGCUACCA